UACGUAGGGUGCGAGCGUUGUCCGGAAUUAUUGGGCGUAAAGAGCUCGUAGGCGGUUCAUUGCGUCGACUGUGAAAUCCCAAGGCUCAACCUUGGGUCUGCAGUCGAUACGGGUGGACUAGAGUUCGGUAGGGGAGACUGGAAUUUCUGGUGUAGCGGUGGAAUGCGCAGAUAUCAGAAGGAACACCGGUGGCGAAGGCGAGUCUCGUGGGCCGAUACUGACGCUGAGGAGCGAAAGCGUGGGGAGCAAACAGG
rnacentral:rRNA from 1 species